rnacentral:tRNA from 1 species
UGGGGCGUCGCCAAGUGGUAAGGCAGCGGAUUUUGAUUCCGCCAUUCGUAGGUUCGAAUCCUGCCGCCCCAGCCA